CUGACAUCGUGAUCCUCCCGCCUCGGCCUCCCAAAGUGCUGGAAUUACAGGCGGGAGCCCCCGCGCCCGGCCGCCACCUAUAACGCUUUCUGUUCGUCACUGAAGAGCCAAGUUUUCACCGCAGUCUGAAGAACUACUGAAAUUUUGAACUAUAACAUGGAUAUCAGUAAAAGAAAUCUUAUACAAGGAUGACAGUGUCCUCUGAAUUAUAUCAUCACAAUGAAGAAUAAAUUCCAGCUAAUAGUCAGUAGCAGGGAGCGACAUCAUGAGGGGAAGCAGUAGCCAGGGAUAAUGGAAUGCUUCUAAUGACCCUUUUAAUACCAUCUUCAUAGACUGGGGCACAAGGGCCAUGUUCUUGCUUUUCUACCCCUUUGCUCAGUGUCUUCUCAUGGAGUUGUAAAAAUAAUAAAAAUCAUUUGAAGAUUAA